rnacentral:rRNA from 1 species
AUUGAACGCUGGCGGCAGGCUUAACACAUGCAAGUCGAAUGAGAUCUUCGGAUCUAGUGGCAGACGGGUGAGGAACACGUGGGAACAUCCCUUUCAGUUCGGAAUAACGUUGGGAAACUAACGCUAAUACCGGAUACGUCCUUCGGGAGAAAGAUUUAUCGCUGAAAGAUUGGCCCGCGUCUGAUUAGCUAGUUGGUGAGGUAAUGGCUCACCAAGGCUACGAUCAGUAGCUGAUCUGAGAGGAUGAUCAGCCACAUUGGGACUGAGACACGGCCCAAACUCCUACGGGAGGCAGCAGUGGGGAAUAUUGGACAAUGGGCGCAAGCCUGAUCCAGCCAUGCCGCGUGAGUGAUGAAGGCCUUCGGGUUGUAAAGCUCUUUUAUCCGGGAAGAUAAUGACUGUACCGGAAGAAUAAGCCCCGGCAAACUUCGUGCCAGCAGCCGCAGUAA